UAAGAAGGAGGAGCAGAGGAGGCGCGCCAUAGAGGGAGUGGUGGACAUCACAAUCCUCUGCCUGAUGGAGAUGAACCAGGAGGAACUGGCCGACAAACUGUGGGGCGGAGCUGCUGCUGUCGAGUGCCAACAUAAAAUCAAGUCUCAUUUGAGGAAUAAGUUCUGGUGUGUGUUUGAGGGAAUCGCUAAAGCAGGUCAUUCAACACCUCUGAAUGAGUUCUACACAGAGAACUUCAUCACAGAGAGAGGCAGUGGAGAGGUCAACAAGGAACAUGAGGUCAGACUGAUUGAAACCGCUUCCAGGAAACCAGCCAACGAAGGAACACCAAUCAAAUGUG